rnacentral:rRNA from 1 species
GAUGAACGCUGGCGGCGUGCCUAAUACAUGCAAGUCGAGCGAACAGACGAGGAGCUUGCUCCUCUGACGUUAGCGGCGGACGGGUGAGUAACACGUGGAUAACCUACCUAUAAGACUGGGAUAACUUCGGGAAACCGGAGCUAAUACCGGAUAACAUGUUGAACCGCAUGGUUCAACAGUGAAAGACGGUUUUGCUGUCACUUAUAGAUGGAUCCGCGUCGCAUUAGCUAGUUGGUAAGGUAACGGCUUACCAAGGCAACGAUGCGUAGCCGACCUGAGAGGGUGAUCGGCCACACUGGAACUGAGACACGGUCCAGACUCCUACGGGAGGUAGCAGUAGGGAAUCUUCCGCAAUGGGCGAAAGCCUGACGGAGCAACGCCGCGUGAGUGAAGAAGGUCUUCGGAUCGUAAAACUCUGUUAUUAGGGAAGAACAAAUGUGUAAGUAACUAUGCACGUCUUGACGGUACCUAAUCAGAAAGCCACGGCUAACUACGUG